rnacentral:rRNA from 1 species
GAUGAACGCUGACAGAAUGCUUAACACAUGCAAGUCAACUGUGGCGGACGGGUGAGUAACGCGUAAAGAACUUGCCUCACAGAUAGGGACAACAUUUGGAAACGAAUGCUAAUACCUGAUACUGUGAGAGAGCUUUGCGUCCCAUUAGCUAGUUGGAGAGGUAACGGCUCACCAAGUCGAUGAUGGGUAGCCGGCCUGAGAGGGUGAUCGGCCACAAGGGGAAUGGGACACGGCGCUACCUCCGACGGGAGGCAGCAGUGGGGAAUAUUGGACAAUGGACCAGAGUCUAAUCCAGCAAUUCUGUGUGCACGAUGAAGUUUUCGGAAUGUAAAGUGCUUUCAGUUGGGAAGCAGUACCAACAGAAGAAGUGACGGCUAAAUACGUGCCAGCCGCCGCGGUAAUAC